AGUGGCCAAAAUAGAGACAAAGAUGAAUGAAAACGUGUGGAAUGAACCAUGGCAACAUAUGUUAAAGGCUGACUCAUCUCACUAUUGAGGCCUCCAUCCAUUUCCUCAGCUCAUACCACAUAUAACCCCUAGACUAUGUGAGAAAAUGCUGCAAAUUGAGCCUAAGACAGCAUUGUGGCACAAACCAGCCAUGGAAUCAAAACCUCAUCCAGUACAAAACAAACAUGAUCUCAGAGUUCCAAAGUCUUGUCUCAAAUAUCAGGUUUUGUAAUUUCUGUAAUUCUAGCCGCCGUCUAAUAUUGUUGUAUGCUUGUUUCUUUAUUUCUAAAUAAACCUAAACUCUUGUACCCCCAC